rnacentral:rRNA from 1 species
CAUCAUGGCUCAGGAUGAACGCUAGCGGCAGGCCUAACACAUGCAAGUCGAGGGGCAUCACGAGGUAGCAAUACUUUGGUGGCGACCGGCGCACGGGUGCGUAACGCGUAUGUAACCUACCUAUAACAGGGGCAUAACACUGAGAAAUUGGUACUAAUUCCCCAUAAUAUUCGGAGAGGCAUCUCUCCGGGUUGAAACUACCGGUCGGGUUAGUUAGAUGGACGAUGCGGUUGUUAUUAGUCUAGUUGGUUGG